GAGAGCACUGCGCAGGCGUCGUGCUGUUGAGUUCUUUGGAAUGUAUCUGCUGAGAGUGACGGCGACGAGGGAAGACUCUCUUUGGUCACAUUCGCAGUCGGUGAAGAUUGAAAGUGCAAAGGGAGAGAUGGCAACAACUGUGGCCUGGGAGGGGUUUCUAAACAUCUCUGGAAGGCAAUGAAAACUAAAAAUGAAUCGACAGGUGCUGUAUUUCCAGAUCCAGGCCUUUGCCCCGGAAGAAGGUUCCAGUUUAGUGGUUGCCAUCUUGACUGGGAUUCGCGCACGCGCGACCGAACGUCAUAUCUUUGAGUGGAAAGAACUUUCCAUCACAGAAAUGUUACAGUGUGGAAGGAAACCUUUUCACCAGCCACGUCUGCACUGGCACUUCACAAAAGCAACCUGACUGACUGAGAAGCUGGAAUUAUUUGCUCUGAAUUUCCAUCAAUGGACUGAUUGUGAUACUGACAUUGAGGUUGCUGACUAGCUCGCCGAGCUGGCUUGUUUUUGUUUUCAAGAGGUUUGAGAGAAGCUGAUUUGUGAAUGGCAAAUGCAAACUAAACAUCACCAGUCAGGAUCUGAUUAUCAUCAGCUUUUCAAUGUGGAAAUAGAAAUGCUUGCCUGUUCUGUCCAUUGGGGAAAACCUCAUCCUGAGACACAGAAACACCCAAAUGAGAUUGUUGCAGUGCACUGACUGUGUAAAGAGCUUUAACCAAUUACGAUGCCUGAAUAACCAUUCCAACAUUCUCAGCCCAGAUAAAUUACACUUUUUUUAUGUAAAAGAGGCUUUAGAAAAUCAUCCAACAUGGAGAGACACAAAGAUACCAGCACCAUGGACAAACCAUGGAAAUGUGAGUACUGUGGGAAGGGAUUCAGUUGGCCAUCCCAGCUGGAAAUACAUGCACGCACUCACACGGGGGACAGGCCAUUUAGGUGCUCCAAGUGUGGAAGAGGAUUCGGAGAGUCAUCCAAAUUGCUUGCUCACUAGCGGGUUCACACUAAUAACCAACCUUUUAAAUGUCCAUACUGUGGAAACUGCUAAUAAUGUUCUGGGGACCUGAUGUCCCAUAAAUGCAUUCACACCAAUUAGAAACCUUUCAGGUGCUCUCACUGCAGGACUGGAUUCAGAAAAUCAUCUGAAGGUUCUGUACAUCAGCGCACCAAUUCUUCCGGAGAUUAAUGCACUGCCUAUAACCACACAAAGAUGCGCACCCUUAGUUUCUGAGUUGGAUCGUUUCACGUAGAAAGUUGGCCAUGAUCCAAUGUGUUCGCAACGUUCAUCAAGCAUCUGUCUGUCCAUCGGUGUAAUGAGGGUUCUUUGAAAUCUUGAUCAGAAUCUUGCGUCGAGUAUUAGUUUAAAAUACUCUUCAAUAAUCCCACUGGAUAAACCUGUGCUUGCUGUCUAUAGUUCUUUAUUGUUCCUGUUCUUUUCAUUCGAUGUAAAUUCAUAGGAAGGCAAGCUGUAAGGAAUGAUGGGAGGGAAAAUCAUGUUCCCUUUCAUUGUCCCAAUUAAAUCUACAUUUCAGUAAAGUUUAGGCGGUAGGCUCUAAUUCUCGAUUUGGACACAGCUGUAAUGUCGACUGUUGAAGAAUCUCUAAACUGACAAGAAUUGGAUUCCCCCUGCAAUUUCCGUGGGUGGGGCAGAUGCAACAACAAACUGCAAAACCACAAAGAAAAACAGAAGUUGCUGGAAAAGCUCAGCAAGUCUGGCAGUGCUGUUCCCAGGAAUCAGUAUUGCGGCCAAAAACUGAAAUUGCUGUAAACGGUCAGCAGAUAUGGCAGCAUAUGGGAAGAGUAAUCAAAGUUCAGGUUUCCGGUCUGGUGGCCCUUCCUUGGAGCUGAUCUUGGCUAGGUUAUUGUCAGUUUUUAUUCAGAAGGUAGGGUAGGUGGAAUGUUUAAAGAGUAAGCAAUGGGUGGGGGUAGAGUCCAAAACAAUUGGGUAGAUAAAGGAGUGGGUAACGGUCUGGCUAGGCAGGUGAUAAGCUAUUAACGGAGACUGCUGGUGGUGAACAACGAGUUGUGUGUAAUCGUAUUGGGAUCAAUUCUUUUCUGAACACACACUAAUGAAGCGCACUUGUUUCCAGAGAGGACAAUUUCAAAAUCCUAAAUGAGCCUAAACUGAUAAUGAACGCUACAACUCAGGAAGUACAGAAACUGGCCUUUCACAGCAAAGUCCGUUUCACUGAACGUCGCCCUCUGUCAUUUUCCUGUGCUUGAUAUUUCAAGAAUGACAGGCCUAUGUUAAUACAACCUGGUUUGGGUGAGACUUGAUCUCACAACCUCGGCAAUUCUUACCCCGCUCUCUGCGUGUCUUAUUGCAAUAUUAACUGAUCCCUUACAGUAUCACUAUAGCAUACAUUAAGAGGAAAUAUUGGGGAUAACAGUCACUGGUUUGACUCGGACUCGAGCCGAAGCUCAUGCUGCCACACCGCAAAGAAUGGGCCACUACACUGUCACAGCGCCACAUCAUGAGACGAGGUGGAGCAGGAAAUAAGUGCCAUGAUAGAUGGUUUGUAAGGAGCACCAUCAGACCCUCAACAGGAAUACUCACCAAACAGCAAACUGUGAUGAAGGAACACUGAAUGAGGGCACGGAGCUACUCUGUGGCUCCAGUGAUGCAAUCGAUGAGCACGCGGUCCUUCUAUGACAGUACAGAGGCGCGAGAAAUGCCGAGGCUGUGAACUCCAACCUCACCCGGGGCAGCUUUUAUUUACACGUACCGGUAGCACAAGGAUAAAGAGCAUUUUUCAGCACAAUAGCCUUUUAUUGGAAAAGAUUGGUUUCUGGGUUUGAGAAAGGUCUGGUCCUGGGGAAAUAUCUCAGCUGUCAACGAAAACCCUGCAAAUAUUCAACUCGCGCAGAAGCAUCUAUGGAGGUAGAAAUGAAGAUGGCGUUAGAGCGCCACGACCUUUCUCAUAUGGCUGGCCCUGAACGUGCUUAAAAUUCAGGGCAAAGCUGUUUUGCUCAUUGUACUUUGCACCCACACAUACAGUUCAUUGCAAUAGUCGAAAAUGAAUUAGAGUUAUCUAAUUUUUAAACUUGCCCCGCAUUUAUUUCAGCUUAAAGAAAGCACUGCUGAUAAGAAGAAGGUUAAACUGCAAAACUAACGUGCUUUGUUCCUGGGUUUCUUGGCUGGAGAUUACUGAGUACUAAAUGGAUUAUACUUCUUGGUAGUGAUUACUGUUGCAUUUUUAAGGCACUUGAUUAAGGCUGGAAAUGGAUCUCCGAGCAAACUGUUCAUUAGGGAAUAUCUUUCCUGUACAAUUUUAAAUAAAGUUUGAUCAGUUGCAUUCAGAA